rnacentral:rRNA from 2 species
AUGCAAGUCGAGCGAACAGAUGAGAAGCUUGCUUCUCUGAUGUUAGCGGCGGACGGGUGAGUAACACGUGGGUAACCUACCUAUAAGACUGGGAUAACUCCGGGAAACCGGGGCUAAUACCGGAUAAUAUUUUGAACCGCAUGGUUCAAUAGUGAAAGACGGUUUCGGCUGUCACUUAUAGAUGGACCCGCGCCGUAUUAGCUAGUUGGUAAGGUAACGGCUUACCAAGGCGACGAUACGUAGCCGACCUGAGAGGGUGAUCGGCCACACUGGAACUGAGACACGGUCCAGACUCCUACGGGAGGCAGCAGUAGGGAAUCUUCCGCAAUGGGCGAAAGCCUGACGGAGCAACGCCGCGUGAGUGAUGAAGGUCUUCGGAUCGUAAAACUCUGUUGUUAGGGAAGAACAAAUUUGUUAGUAACUGAACAAGUCUUGACGGUACCUAACCAGAA